AUGUUAGGAGAUUUUGAUCCAUCCCUUCCAUUGCAUGAUCCCCAUAAUUGUGUACACCAUAUGCUCCCCAUGAAUAAACAUGCUAUUGAUGUGCCAUAUACUUGCAUUCUAAAUUUGUGUCCCCAUCGUGUCAUGCAUAAUAACUAUUCUUUCAUGAUGGAUGACAUGUUCUUAUACCAUGCAUCAAAUUUCUUUGAGCGAUGCUUAUCUUGUGCUAACUCACAUGUGCACAUACACAUCAUGAUGGAUGAUGUGUACAUUUACCAUGCGCACAAUUUCUUUGGUUUGUGUCCUUUUUGUGUAGGUACCCAUGAAUACUUGUCGACCUCGCAAUCCCACGAGUUGACAAAACGAGCUCUAUAG
rnacentral:rRNA from 1 species